CUCUGCAAAGAACACAUCUCCAGCAGUGGGUUUCAUCUGAGGAGCAGAGUGGCCCCCCGAACACAUUUGGUAAAAUCUGGAGGGUGCCUUCAGAACAAUAGGUAGAACUCUCAGUUCCUCCUGCACCAUGCCUUCCUGGAUGCUGCCAUGCUCCUGCCUUGAUAAGAAUGGACUGAACCUCUGAACCUGUAAGCCAGCCCCAAUUGAAUGUUGUCCUUAUAAGACUUGCCUUGGUCAUGUUGUCUGUUCACAGCAGGAAAACCCUAUCUAAGAAACAUAGUAAAUGGGAUGGGUGAGGAAGUGGCAGGCAAGAAGAUGCACAGAGGGGUUCCCAGUGUUUGACAGACAGAGU
rnacentral:lncRNA from 1 species